rnacentral:rRNA from 1 species
AUUGAACGCUGGCGGCAUGCCUUACACAUGCAAGUCGAACGGUAACAGGUCUUCGGAUGCUGACGAGUGGCGAACGGGUGAGUAAUACAUCGGAACGUGCCCGAUCGUGGGGGAUAACGAAGCGAAAGCUUUGCUAAUACCGCAUAAGAUCUACGGAUGAAAGCAGGGGACCGCAAGGCCUUGCGCGAACGGAGCGGCCGAUGGCAGAUUAGGUAGUUGGUGGGAUAAAAGCUUACCAAGCCGACGAUCUGUAGCUGGUCUGAGAGGACGACCAGCCACACUGGGACUGAGACACGGCCCAGACUCCUACGGGAGGCAGCAGUGGGGAAUUUUGGACAAUGGGCGAAAGCCUGAUCCAGCCAUGCCGCGUGCAGGAUGAAGGCCUUCGGGUUGUAAACUGCUUUUGUACGGAACGAAAAGACUCUUUCUAAUAAAGAGGGUCCAUGACGGUACCGUAAGAAUAAGCACCGGCUAACUACGUGCCAGCAGCCGCCGCAGUAA